rnacentral:rRNA from 1 species
AGCGAACGCUGGCGGCAUGCUUAACACAUGCAAGUCGCACGAAGGUUUCGGCCUUAGUGGCGGACGGGUGAGUAACGCGUAGGAAUCUAUCCAUGGGUGGGGGAUAACACUGGGAAACUGGUGCUAAUACCGCAUGAUACCUGAGGGUCAAAGGCGCAAGUCGCCUGGGGAGGAGCCUGCGUUCGAUUAGCUAGGUGGGGGGGUAAAGGCCUACCAAGGCGAUGACCGAUAGCUGGUUUGAGAGGAUGAGCAGCCACACUGGGACUGAGACACGGCCCAGACUCCGACGGGAGGCAGCAGUGGGGAAUAUUGGACAAUGGGGGCAACCCUGAUCCAGCAAUGCCGCGUGUGUGAAGAAGGUCUUCGGAUUGUAAAGCACUUUCGACGGGGACGAUGAUGACGGUACCCGUAGAAGAAGCCCCGGCUAACUUCGUGCCAGCAGCCGCAGUAAGAC